AUACGGAGGAUGCAAGCGUUAUCCGGAUUUAUUGGGUUUAAAGGGUGCGUAGGCGGUUUGCUAAGCGGGAGGUGAAAUGCCGGCGCUCAACGUCGGAAGUGCCUCCCGAACUGGUGGACUUGAAUGACUCUGCCGUGGGAGGAAUGUGUAGUGUAGCGGUGAAAUGCUUAUAGCUUACACAGAACACCGAUUGCGAAGGCAUCUCACGAAGUGUUGAUUGACGCUGAGGCACGAAAGCAGGGGGAGCAAACAGGAUACGAUACCCUGGGAGUCCAUGCCGCAAACGGUGGGCGCUAGGUGUAGGGCUUGCCCACUACUGCUGUGCCGUCGCUAACGCAUUAUGCGCCCCGCCUGGGGAGUACGGCCGCAAGGCGAAAACAUAAAGGAAUUGACGGGG
rnacentral:rRNA from 1 species